AACAGUUGAAAUAAAACUGAAGGAGGAUGAAAAACUGUUGAAGAUAAACAACAACCAGGUUGGAUACUAUCGACUGAACUAUACCCUGGAGAUGUGGGACACGUUGAAACAUGAACUGAGCGCUCGGUCUGAACUGCUAUCCAUAUCAGAUCGGGCCCACAUUCUGAAUGAUGUAUUCGCACUGGCAGAAGCCAAUCAGUUGCCGUACCGAGUAGCGCUCCAGAUGACCACAUACCUCACCGUGGAGACAGACUUCGUGCCCUGGUUCAGCGCAGGAAGAGUCUUUUAUGCUUUGGACACCAAUCUCUUCAACACACCUGCGCGCAAGGUUUUAAUGAAUUAUGUUCAACAUCUUGUGAAACCGUUGUACGCAAAGCAAAGUUGGGAGAAGAGUAAGCUUGAUAUCAUUGAAGGACUUCUACGGACAAAAAUACUUUCGUUGUCGACGUACUUUGGUCUUCCUGACGCGAAUCAAAAAGUGAGGCAACUGUUCCUGGGCUGGCUCAACACUCACAACAGUUCGGACGCUGCCAACAUCGAGCCAGACCUCCGGGACUUUGUAUAUUUCUAUGGUAUGCAAUCUGGGUCAGAGGACGAGUGGGAUAAACUGUGGCAGAUAUAUCUCCACGAGGAUGAUGUCCAGGAACAAUUGAAGUUGAGAAGUGCGCUGUCAGCACCCAAUGAUACAGCGAUACUCAGGAAGUA